GCUAAGUAAUCUGCUUGGGUUUGCUCUCCAGAGCUUUUGAUCCCUGCGAGCUUUCCGUACAGCUUUGGAGGCGGGGAGUGAAAAUGGCAGCCUCCCAAUGUCCGCCCCGGAGGAGCCGAGAACUCGGGGCCCCGCUCCUCAGUGAGCCCCCAGAGCAAAGCCGUCAGUCACUCCCGUCUCCACGGUCUCCGGCCACACUCCGUGCUCACCCGGCCUGUGACCGCACGUUUCUAUCUCUGGCCCCCGACCCCGUGUGGAGUCUCCAAACCCAGCAGAUCCCUGCGGUGCGCUCCCACGCGGCUCCUCCCGGGGGAGGAAGGGCAGCAUCUCAGUAAGUGUGCUCAUGGAGUGGCAAGCCUGCAAGAAGAAAUCCCCUCAGCAACGAUGAGGAAAGAUCUCUGCUUUCCAGCAUCUCCUUCCAAGAGACGUUUUUUAGUGUCUUACUCUUCUAUUCCUUCUCAUCUUCCCUCCCUCUCCUAAAUUCAGAAGAUCUUCAUCUCUCCUGAGAGGGAAGGUUGUUCUGCUUGGAUGCAUAGCCUUCCAAUCUUCCUAUCUUACAUCUGAACCACAGCUUUAGAAUUAAAAGCCAAAAUCUGAUACCUCACUUCCCUCGUUAUAUAAUGAUAAACUUCCCUAAAACAAAGGAUUGCUCAUGUGUAACAUGAAAUGAGGAAAGGUCAAGGGACAAAAAUGGAAUGUAACACACACACACACACACACACACACACACAAAACCCCUCAA